UACGUAGGUCCCGAGCGUUGUCCGGAUUUAUUGGGCGUAAAGCGAGCGCAGGCGGUUAGAAAAGUCUGAAGUGAAAGGCAGUGGCUCAACCAUUGUAGGCUUUGGAAACUGUUUAACUUGAGUGCAGAAGGGGAGAGUGGAAUUCCAUGUGUAGCGGUGAAAUGCGUAGAUAUAUGGAGGAACACCGGUGGCGAAAGCGGCUCUCUGGUCUGUCACUGACGCUGAGGCUCGAAAGCGUGGGGAGCGAACA
rnacentral:rRNA from 2 species